CCGCGGGACGCCUCAAUGGGGAGGCAGUCGGUUGUAACCCGAGGGCGCUUCGGCGCGGGCAGGUUCGAUCCCUGCUCCGCGGA
rnacentral:tRNA from 1 species